UUGCAGGAGUUCGCCAACCUCUGGGAGAUGGUUGCCGGUGUCACUCUAAGCCAAGAUAGACAAAACACUAUUUCGUGGAAAUUCACAACCAACAGAGAGUACACGACAUCCUCGGCUUACUUGGCGCAAUUUGCGGGACUCACCUACAGUAUCAAUACUUCCAUGAUCUGGAAGAUGUGGGCUCCUCCCAAAUGCAAGUUCUUUGGUUGGCUAGUUCUCCAGAACCGAGUCUGGACGGCCCAUCGCUUGUCUCGACGGGGAUGGCCCAAUUGCAACCUUUGCCUCCUUUGCAAGCAAGUUCAAGAAUCUGCUGCACACCUACUAUUUCAGUGUAGAUUCACGAAUAGAGUUUGA
rnacentral:rRNA from 1 species